rfam:Callithrix jacchus chromosome X, whole genome shotgun sequence
ACAACGGCUCUUUUCAGAGCCACUGCACAUGGCCUGACAGACCUGA